AGGAUAACUGACAACUUGCUGGCGAUGGCAAGGCCUUCUACUGAAAUCCUCGAGAAUACAAUAUCAUUGAACAGUUUACAAGGUGUGGCCUUCGUACGGUGAUCAACCUGCAGCGUCCCGGGGAACACGCCAGCUGUGGUAACCCUCUGGAACACGACUCUGGAUUCACCUACAGACCUGAGAUGUUCAUGGAGGCUGGCAUCUAUUUCUAUAACUUUGGCUGGAAGGACUACGGCGUGGCGUCCCUGACUACUAUACUGGACAUGGUCAAGGUGAUGUCGUUCGCCAUCCAGGAGGGAAAGAUGGCCGUGCACUGUCACGCCGGCCUGGGGAGGACAGGUGUGUUACUGGUGUGUUACUGUGUU